CCUAGUAAUCUGCCUGGUAGUGGGGAAUAACGUUCGGAAACGAACGCUAAUACCGCAGACGUCCUACGGGAGAAAGCAGGGGACCUUCGGGCCUUGCGCUAUCAGAUGAGCCUAGGUCGGAUUAGCUAGUUGGUGAGGUAAUGGCUCACCAAGGCGACGAUCCGUAACUGGUCUGAGAGGAUGAUCAGUCACACUGGAACUGAGACACGGUCCAGACUCCUACGGGAGGCAGCAGUGGGGAAUAUUGGACAAUGGGCGAAAGCCUGAUCCAGCCAUGCCGCGUGUGUGAAGAAGGUCUUCGGAUUGUAAAGCACUUUAAGUUGGGAGGAAGGGCAGUUACCUAAUACGUAAUUGUUUUGACGUUACCGACAGAAUAAGCACCGGCUAACUCUGUGCCAGCAGCCGCGGUAAUACAGAGGGUGCAAGCGUUAAUCGGAAUUACUGGGCGUAAAGCGCGCGUAGGUGGUUCGUUAAGUUGGAUGUGAAAUCCCCGGGCUCAACCUGGGAACUGCAUUCAAAACUGUCGAGCUAGAGUAUGGUAGAGGGUGGGUGGAAUUUCCUGUGUAGCGGUGAAAUGCGUAGAUAUAGGAAGGAACACCAGUGGCGAAGGCGACCACCUGGACUGAUACUGACACUGAGGUGCGAAAGCGUGGGGAGCAAACAGGAUUAGAUACCCUGGUAGUCCACGCCGUAAACGAUGUCAACUAGCCGUUGGGAGCCUUGAGCUCUUAGUGGCGCAGCUAACGCAUUAAGUUGACCGCCUGGGGAGUACGGCCGCAAGGUUAAACUCAAAUGAAUUGACGGGGGCCCGCACAGCGGUGGAGCAUGUGGUUAAUUCGAAGCACGCGAAGACCUUACAGGCUUGACAUCCAUGACUUUCCAGAGAUGGAUGGUGCCUCGGCACA
rnacentral:rRNA from 1 species